UUGAAGAGGAUUUGGAU
rnacentral:sRNA from 1 species